AUGGCCGCCCUAUCCGCUCGGCCCCCUGGCAAUCCUUGCCGCCGCCCCGGCACAAACGUCCACCCUAUGGAGCUCCCUCCUCCACUGGUGUCCGGCCGCCUCCCUGUCCCUUGCCACAUCUACGCAUGGACCUCUACGAGGGGAGAGUUCAUCAUCUCAGGGCACCACAUCAACACUCCAAGAGAUGUGUGGACCGAGCACUGUGACAACGCAGUAAAGGAAAAUAAUGCAUGCUUGUGUGAAGUUCUACCACGGCUAUAUGCUGGAAGCUGUGAAGUCCUAGCACGGCUCUCCACCAAGUUCUAG
rnacentral:rRNA from 1 species